AUGGCUAAAUUUUGGUGGAGCAACUCGAUUGAUAAGCAAUCAUUACACUGGAUCUCAUGGCAGAAGCUACCAACACCAAAAUGUAGAGGGGGCAUGGGUUUUCGCGACCUUCACCUCUUUAAUUUGGCACUACUGGGUAAGCAAGGAUGGCACCUCAUCACUAAUCCUAAUACCCUUUGUGCAAGAGUGCUCAAGAGUAAAUACUUCCCGGAUACUGAUUUUAUGCAAGCCACAAAUCCAAGCUCAUCCUCUGCAACUUGGAGAGCUAUCAUGCCUGGACAGGAAGCGUUAACUACUGGGCUUAUUAAGUGA
rnacentral:rRNA from 1 species